GGCUACAGUAACCUUCCAGCAGUCAAGAAGAUGACCUUCAGCCAGUACCCCUAUAGCAACCUCUGCAAGGGCUUGGGGGCCUUGCUCUCAGAACAGGGCUUUCAUCUUACGAACAAGUUCCUGACCUACUUCCCCGGGAGGAGCACUGAGGAUGGCCGCAAGCGAGUAUUUCUGCGAGAUCGCCCCCCGCCCCCCCACUGACCCCUCGAUGUUCCCCACGUGGCCCGUAAAGAGUGAGCAGCAGUGUGUGAAGUGGAGCACCAGCACGCCCCCACCCGACCCGCGCCCCGCCAGGGAGGCCUGGGCUACAGCCAGCUGGGUGACGACCACGUGAAGGAGACUGGCUUCCACUUCACCAUCACGAACCAGGGCGCCUCGGUUGCGGGCCCG
rnacentral:lncRNA from 1 species